UCAAUUGAAGAAAAUGAAGUUUAUCUGCCUAAUGAUGAGCUCUGGAUCUAUGAAAUGGAUAGUGGGUUAUGGACAAUGCACCUAAUGGAAGGAGAGUUACCUACCUCCAUGUCAGGAAGCUGUGGGGCAAGCAUUAAUGGGAAGCUGUAUAUUUUUGGUGGAUUUGAUGAUAAAGGAUACAGUAAUCGGCUGUAUUAUGUUAAUUUGCGAACAAAAAAUGGAACCUAUAGGUGGAAAAAAAUUACAAAUUUUAAAGGUCAACCUCCUACACCACGUGACAAGCUUUCCUGCUGGGUGUAUAAGGACAGGCUAAUAUAUUUUGGUGGCUAUGGCUGUAGGAAGCAUAAUGAACUGAGUGAUUGUUUUGAUGUCCAUGAUGCAUUUUGGGAAGGACAGAUAUUCUGGGGAUGGCAUAAUGAUGUUCAUGUUUUUGACACAACCACACAAACUUGGUCUCAACCAGCAAUUAGAGGUGGAGAUCCACCUCAGCCUCGAGCAGCUCAUACGUGUGCUGUGCUGGGAAAUAAAGGUUACAUCUUUGGAGGACGAGUGCUGGGAAAAGGCUCUACAAGGAACCAGAAAGGGCCAGGAAGUGUCAUGAGGCUUCUCCUAUUCAUCUUUCUGGGAGGAAAGGGCACCUUUUUCCAAACUUGGAGCUAGAACUGGUAAAAGAAGAUGGUGAUGAUCAAAAUCAAUUGUACCAGGAAUCAUUUGAAAACAGGCUCAGAAGUAUUAUGUGGACUCUGUUCCUCCAGGUAAGCCCCUGAAAAAACAGAAAUGGGAGAAAGUGGGAAGGAAGGAGAGUUAGUCCAAAAGUUGAUGCAAGUCUCAUGUUUGAUUUAAGUGGAAAAUUUUCAUGUAGUGAAUGAUGAAGUAAUAAAGUCUUUCCAGCAGCUCUUCACACAUCUGAUGCCUUAAUGUAUGCAUGCUUAUAUUUCCUGUUAUCCUUUCUGUCACUGAAGAUCAGAAGAUACAUUGAACUGCAAUCCUCUUAGAAAGAUUUGAGCUGUAAUAGCUGUUUGAUUGUAAAUCUCAGAAUGGAGAGCUGCACAGAGUUUACUGUAACAGCAGCGAGCUGUAAAUAUGUCACCCUUCAUGCCUUUCAUCCUGCUAGAAAGCUAAUCCUGAGACAAAGCAGAUCCUGGUUAAUGUUUGCUGGGCUGCAAAUAAAUGAACAUGUGGUAGAUAAGUAGAGUCCUUGCAGCUCAAAGGAAAAUGCAAACCCUCUUACGAGGCUUGAUGCUUUUAAACCAAUUAAGAGUCAUUUUAGGAUUAUCAGCUAAAAAGAUUAAAUAUAGUAGAUAGCAUUUAGAAAUACACGAGAAACUGCAAGAAAACUUUGCAUAUGGCAAGUGACGAUACUACAGCCUGACUGUGUGCUUUACAGUUUCCCAAAUAAGGGUCGGGUAGAAAGGCAUUUUCAUUUGUUAAAGCUAUGUUAAAGGACUGAAUCUUAGAUGUAAAUGUCCAACUGAUGCUGUGUUUUGAAUUCAAAAUGAGGUUGAUGUAAUUAUGCAUCUGUCAAUCUGUUGAAUCAUGAGAAUGUAAAGAUUAUAAUACAUUGAUUUCCCAGGGACCAAGAAACUGAAAACUACUCCAUCUUCUGCCUAAUGCCUAGGAAAGGAAAGUCAGCGAGGAGGUCUUGAACAGGAUCUUCUUGAAACCUUAAUUUCCAACACAACAGCAACUUUCUUUCUUCCCUUUCUUUAAUAGAUGUCCUCCAUAUUGAACUGUGUUAUUCCAAGAUGAUUAAAUACUUUCAGUUCUAGAGGCCAGGAUGUUGCUUUUUCCCCACGCUACCCCCAAGUGUCUAGCUGUCUACAGGUACAGCAGAAGAUACUCAGUAAUUGAAUUUUUCUUUCUGCUUGUAUAAUUUGUUCCUCAUCUCCUUCAAAGCCACCUGAAGGAGCAGGAAACUGAACAGACUUGUCAUGGAAGACAGCUCUGUUCCGCGAGCUGUCAGCUGGACCACACUGUAUUGUUAAAUUCACCCUCUUGUGGGGAUAAAGCUUCUCAGGCAAUGCACAAAAGCCCUCACGUUCUGCUUUUCUUUAGCCUACUGGCCUCGCUGAAGGCAUUCCAAAAUGCUAGUUAACAUUCUCUUCCCUAGGACAGAAAAGGGCUAGCAUGUACUUGAUCAGAGGAGCCCAUAGCUAUCCUGAAAACCUUGCUGUUUCCUGAAAUACCCCGAGAGACUUUCCAUAGCUCUGAUGGACAGCUUUGGAAGUCUCUCAAACUCACUAACUGGCUGAGUUCUCAGGGGUAAAACUACUCCUAUUCUGACUUAAAUGACAAGUCUAGUUUCUGCCUCAAAGGAUCUGCAAGCUGGAGAAAGGCUUAUUCUAAUAGAUCUAUGGACUACCCUAGGAGAAAAGAAAUUGGAAGGUAAGGCAAGAUACGUUUCCCUUCUUCUCAGAUAUUGUUUUGUAGUACCUAGGGGAAUCACGAGUAUCAGUCAAGUGUAUUGCGAGCCAUUGAAAAUAUUGCUACAGUCUAAAGCAAAGAAAUUCUUUCUUACAUUCUCCCCCCACUUUGUUUCUAAAGCAAUUACUUUCUUCGUCUCAAAACAAAGGCAGAUAUGCAAGUGUAUUGAUUUUUCCAUUCUUGCUGAUACAUUUUAUUAUUUUUAUGGCAAAUGCUAAACACUCAUAAAACCUUGUUGCUGCUAGUAGUAACUUUGUGAAAGGGCUUGUCUUCUGGAAAAGAGAGAACACAGAUGUGCUGAAUUUACUGUGGAAUGUCAUGCACUGAGUACAGUACCUACUAGAAUAUUUCAAGGAAUAAGUGACCAGGCAGGAGGAUGCAGAGUUCUGAUCAGAAUGCAAAGAAAAAUAAUGAGAGGAAACUAUAUGUAGAGUAUUAUACCUUCUGCAGUUACCUACCAUGAAUUCUGUGGAUAAAAAACUGAAUACAUUUGCAGGAACAGAAUAUCACCUAGUUCUUCACUAUUAGACUAUUAUUAAAAGCUAAAAUGGGCCCCAAACUGCCAUUGCAUUACUGUAAAUAUUCCUCACAGGUAGUUUUUUGAGAGUUGUAUGGGGUUUUUGAGAAGAAAUGCUUUUCAUCUGCCACAUAACACAGAGUUGUUUUAAGGCACAUGGGUACAGUUUUCUUCAAAAUAUUGUUACUUGGAAUAUUCUGUCCUGGGAAGGCCUCGUUGAAAUACUUUGCUCAUUGUUCUCUUAAUAUAACACACCUGGGAUUUUAUUUAUUUGUUUUAGCAAACUAGAAUGAAUGAUUUGCACUGCCUGAAUUUAGACACUUGGACUUGGUCUGGAAGAAUUAAUAUCAGUGGAGAGAAACCAAAAGAUCGAUCCUGGCACACGUUGACUCCGAUAGGAGAUGACAGACUUUUUCUUUUUGGUGGACUAAGUUCUGAUAAUGUUCCUUUAAGUGAUGGCUGGAUUCACAGCAUUACAACAAAUGGAUGGAAACAACUUACCCAUUUGCCUAAGAGUAGGCCUAGAUUGUGGCAUACAGCCUGCCUUGGAAAAGAAGGAGAAGUGAUGGUGUUUGGUGGAAGCAAAGAUGACUUGCAUUUCAUGGACACGGGUCACUGCAGUGACUUGUUGAUAUUUCAGACUCAACCUUACUCACUCCUCAGGUUGUGUCUUGACUGCAUUGGUAAAAACGCAACUCUCUUAAAGAAUCAAAUACCAUGCUUGCCAUCCAAACUUUUGCAGCAAGUGCUGAAAAAGAUAACCUUCUGGGCUGCAGUUAGCCACCGGCAGGAGAAAAAAGCUGAGACUGAAAGACAAAGUCAACUAAAUACCACAUGAACAAUGGCGACAAAACUGUUGAACACUUUGGUUUAUUUAGGGUGUACAGCAAAGUCUUUUGUUAGUGAACUUUACUAAUGCUACAGAACAACUGUAUGUUAAGCUGAGUUUCUAAGUGAAGUUUGAGAACAAAGAAAUCCUUUUUAUGGGAGUCUCUUUUGUUUGCUGCAUUAUAGGAAACCGGUAAAACUUCAUUUGUAUAUAUUGUUAACUUCUGCUGUUGUAGUCUUAAUGAAUUAAGACAGUCCAUACGACUUGUUUUUUUGAAGGUGACAGAUGUUAGAAAAUGUUCCCAGUUGGACAAAAUACGGCUUAAGUCUAAAAUCGUACUCCAGCCUUACUACAUCAGCCUUUCUGGAAAGAUAAAAUUGGUUCAACACAGAAUCUUUGGAAGAUUCACACUUGUUCGGUCUUAAAAAGGUAACUAACCAUCUAACACCACUGAAUCGUAUUGUUUGAAUCCCGCAUCUAGUCAAAUGAUGGAGCCAGCGCUCUUACCCCAGUAGCAACAUGAGUAAAAAUCAGUCAACCUGCCCCUGGAACUUGAACAACAAAGCUGCCACGGGCAGCUUCUAUAGGAAAGCUUACGUGCAGGUCAUAAUAUAGUUUUACUAUGUUUCUGUAAUCAAUGAGUCCUUUUCGAAAUAGGUUGUAUAUUGUAUUUUGGAUGUGUAAAGUUUGUAUUCAAUUCUUGUUUAAAAAAAAAAAAUAAUGCUUAUUUAUUGUUUAAAAAGAGCCUAUGUAGUACUCGCUAUUUUUCUGUUUCCAAUAUUUAGUUAACAGGAGCACAGUCAUUAAAAUUUUAUAGAGAG